AAAGCGUGCGCAGGCGGUUUUGUAAGACUGUCGUGAAAUCCCCGGGCUCAACCUGGGAAUGGCGAUGGUGACUGCAAGGCUAGAGUUUGGCAGAGGGGGGUAGAAUUCCACGUGUAGCAGUGAAAUGCGUAGAUAUGCGGAGGAACACCGAUGGCGAAGGCAAUCCCCUGGACCUGUACUGACGCUCAUGCACGAAAGCGUGGGGAGCAAACAGGAUUAGAUACCCUAGU
rnacentral:rRNA from 1 species